rnacentral:rRNA from 1 species
CACAGUGUAGCAAUACAUGGGUGGCGACCGGCAAACGGGUGCGGAACACGUACGCAACCUUCCUUCAGGCGGGGAAUAGCCCAGAGAAAUUUGGAUUAAUACCCCAUAAUAUUUUGAGAUGGCAUCAUCUUAUUAUUAAAGCUACGGCACCUGGAGAUGGGCGUGCGGCUGAUUAGGUAGUUGGCGGGGUAAUGGCCCACCAAGCCUACGAUCAGUAGCUGAUGUGAGAGCAUGAUCAGCCACACGGGCACUGAGACACGGGCCCGACUCCUACGGGAGGCAGCAGUAAGGAAUAUUGGUCAAUGGACGCAAGUCUGAACCAGCCAUGCCGCGUGGAGGAUGAAGGUCCUCUGGAUUGUAAACUUCUUUUAUCUGGGACGAAAAAAGGGUUUUCUAACUCGUCUGACGGUACCAGAUGAAUAAGCACCGGCUAACUCCGUGCCAGCAGCCGCGGUAAUACGGAGGGUGCAAGCGUUAUCCGGAUUCACUGGGUUUAAAGGGUGCGUAGGCGGGCAUUUAAGUCAGUGGUGAAAUACCUGAGCUUAACUUGGGAACUGCCAUUGAUACUAUUCGUCUUGAAUGUCGUGGAGGUUAGCGGAAUAUGUCAUGUAGCGGUGAAAUGCUUAGAUAUGACAUAGAACACCUAUUGCGAAGGCAGCUAACUACGCGAAUAUUGACGCUGAGGCACGAAAGCGUGGGGAUCAAACAGGAUUAGAUACCCUGGUAGUCCACGCCCUAGACGAUGAUUACUCGACAUUAGCGAUACACUGUUAGUGUCUGAGCG